GGCCGGAUGACCGAGUGGUUAAGGUGUCAGAUUUAAGUCCUGAUGGGUGCACACCCGCGCGAGUUCGAUCCUCGCUUCGGCCA